UACAUUCUCAUGGAGCCAAACCCUUGGUCCUGCCAUGCAGUUUUAGGCUGAAUGAGGCAAGGGCAUGCUGUUUUCCCUCUGGGGUUUGGGGUUUAGGUGCCACGUAUUAACUCGUGGGAAGCUUGGCAAGACCCAUCCUUGGGGUUCAUCUCUUCUGGCUCCCACAGAGGCAGGCAGGCGGGUGAAGGCAGCAGAGGGUUCAGAUGUUUGUCUAUCCUCCUCCACUGCCAGGAAGUUAGGGUAAGACUAAAGGACUUAGUCUCAGGAUCUGAGGCACACAGUGGGCCUGCUGGGUCCCCGUGAGCGUUAAUGGCCAGACACAAACUCCUCCUGUCCUUGUACCUGGUGCCCGGAUGACCAGUUUGCUCUCUUCAAGCACUUUGAAGAAGUAGCUGAGAAUGGCAAUAAACUGAUUCCGGUCCUCUGUCUCUGUGAAGGGCUAGACAGGCAGCAUCUCAGUGCCUUUAUGGGCUAUUUCUGCAGAAGGACAGCAGGCAGACCCAGAUAAAGAGCCCACAUGCCCGCAGCCCAUUGCCUACCACUGCAGACAUCGCCAUGGCCUGAAUGCUGCCCCUUGGGCUUCUGCUCUUGCCAAGCCCACUGUUCCCCACACUCUAGUCACACCGAUGCUACCCUAAGCACCAACCCCAGAUGCCUCCAUAGCUUUGUGGAUGCCACUCAUCAGCCUGGAAUGUCCCCUCACAUGCAUCUACAGGGUCCCCUCAUCUCCCAGAUCCAGCCCUUGUGACACUGCAUUGCAUGUCUUUGUUUAUGGAUUAAAUGUAGGGACAGUGUCUUGUUCAUACCGUAUCCCCAGAACCUGGCACAGGGACUGGAAGAGAGUGGAUGCAAGGUCAAUGUCAGUUAAAAGAUGGAAGAGCAGGAAAGACCAGGCCCUCAGGCUAAUGCAGUUACAUGUAUUUUAUUAGGACUUAGGUCUUUUUAUAGAGCAUCUUCAGCUCCUCCAUACUUCAAACAUCUCUAUGCAUUUUUAUUUGCUCCCGUUUUUUCACUAGUAUUGAAUUCAGUAAACCUAGCAAGUAACCAUAUCUAGGUGGUGUGGGAGUAUGCAACACUCCAAAGUACAUUACAGCUGCAAAGUUGGAAGCUUAAAAUGCCUCCUCAACAUCACUGACAAACAGAACACAUAGAUAGAGGGAACCUUUCCUAUUUCCCCUAGCCAUGCCUUGGCUUUCUGACGAAACUUGACUCCUAGUAAGUUUUAUUUAUUUAUUUUCCUUUAAGAGCUAAUAUUUAUUGUACCCUUAGUAUACCUAGAAACUGUUUUAGGCUCUUUUCCCCCAUGUAUUAAUUCAUAUAAUCUGUUCAACAACCCUGUGAAAUAAGUACAAUUAUUAUACCUAUUUUACAGAUGAGGAAACUGAGGACCAGAGAAAACAACUAGUUUUCCAGAGCUCUCACCAUUGACAUCUCCCUUCCAACUCUUGGCGCUUCUGCUAUCCAGAACCACAUCAGCUUCCUGAACAGACCAAUGUCCACCUGCACCUGGGCCUCUGCAUGUCUCUUUCCUCUGCCUCAAGAGUGGAUCCACACCUUCCUUCUUCUAAGUGUAAUUAAAGAGGCCCUUUGUGCCGCCUUCAGAUUUUUUUUUCUUGUCCCAACUUUUCCUGUGCUCUUGUCUCCGUGGAACUAUUCAUACAGGUCAGUAUCAUUUUCCUUCUAGAAAAUGAGUCCAUUGGAAAGCCUCCCGGUUAGCCAUAAAACUUGAGAUCCCAGGGAAAGAUGUGGUCUUUCUUGCUGGAGACUGACUCAGAGAUUAUUUUCAUGAAGCCAAGGAGUUUAAGCUCAGAGCCCCUCCCUUGUUUAAAUCCCCUCAAGGACCUGAGGGUAAGAACCCUAGUAUUGUGUCCUAGGGGCGAUAUAUUUUA